rnacentral:lncRNA from 1 species
CUGGAUUUAUUGGAUUCAGUUAAAAUUGUACUGUAAUAAUAAGGGCAUCAAUUAAAAGUAGGGCCCAUUUUAAUUUGCGCUAUACAAUUUAGCGUAUUUUUUACUUUAAUAUCUUAUAGUUUAAAAGAUUAUACUGAAAUAUUUUGUAAUUUUUUUUAUUUUAUUACAAGAAUUUAUUGUAAACAUAAUUAAAUAGAAUUAAAGUAAUUUUUUUUUGAUAACUAUAGAAUGGUAAAAUGUAAAUUAUAUAAUAAUAAACUAAUAUAUUG